rnacentral:rRNA from 1 species
GACGAACGCUGGCGGCGUGCUUAACACAUGCAAGUCGAACGAAGAGCGAUGGAAGCUUGCUUCUAUCACUCUUAGUGGCGAACGGGUGAGUAACGCGUAAUCAACCUGCCCUUCAGAGGGGGACAACAGUUGGAAACGACUGCUAAUACCGCAUACGAUCUAAUCUCAGCAUCGAGGACAGAUGAACGUUGGCCUCUACAUGUAAGCUAUCACUGAUGGAGGGGAUGGCGUGUGAUUAGCUAGUUGGAGGGGUAACGGCCAACCGAGGCGAUGGUCAGUAGCGGGUCUGAGAGGAUGACCGGCCACAUUGGGACUGAGACACGGCCCAGACUCCUACGGGAGGCAGCAGUGGGGAAUUUUCGACAAUGGGCGAAAGCCUGAGGCAGCAAUGCCGCGUGUGUGAAGAAGGCCUCCGGUUGGUAAAGUACGUUUGUCAGGGAAGAAAGGCCUCUUGCGAAUAGCGAGAAGGGAUGACGGUACCGGAAUAGAAAGCCACGGCUAACUACGUG